GCCGAGGUGGUGAAAUUGGUAGACACGCCGGAUUCAAAAUCCGGUUCUUUUUAAGAGUGUGGGUUCGAAUCCCACCCUCGGUA
rnacentral:tRNA from 1 species